UAGCGAUAAAGGCAAACCAGCCAAAAGGCUGGGACGCAAAGCUAAAGGGCCUUCACCUUGAACCAAGGAAAGGCAGCCAGCUACCGAA
rfam:Delta proteobacterium ML8_F1 contig_160, whole genome shotgun sequence.